AGUUGAAUUUUGUGGCUGCUUCACAUAAAUUAAUUGUAGCACCAUGGGAUUCAGCUUA
rnacentral:pre_miRNA from 1 species